rnacentral:lncRNA from 1 species
GCGGUGGGUGAGGCCGUGGAGCACGGAGUGCCCAGGAACAGGCCGGAGAGCUCUGCAAGGCUGAAGGGAAGGAGAAACCAGCAAACCUGAUAAUGGAACAGCUCAGGAAACACACACAUUAUCUGAAAGGAAGAAGCAGGAUGGCAUUUAUCCUGGCCAUAUGGAAACAAAUAUAACUUGGGGUUUUUUUCCAUAAAGGCCGCUCUUGGUUAUUGAAUUAUUUCAAAAAAUCUUCUUCUACAUCAUAUUUAUAGUAUUCCUUUUGCUUUCCCGGCCUCUCUCUCCAUUUGCAGAUAUUUAGUCUCAGAUGGCUUUGCAGCAAGUAACUGGUGAAUAGUCCAGACAGUUUUUCCCGUGAAACGGCUGUGUGGGGUCACUGAUUCUGUGGGGUGAAGAUCUCUGAUCACGGUUUGCCUAUGUUGGUGCCACUUUUCCCAUUUGGGUCCUUGCUUUCAGCGGGAACCCGAGGCUCCAAGGGAACUCAUCUCGAGGAGCCCAGAGUUUGUCCCGUCGGGCUCGUGUUUUCUAGGGAAUUCCGUGUGCAUUCCCGAGCUGGAGCCGGGACCGCGCACCGCGAUCGCAGGGCUCUGCCCUCACCCCGGGGGGGUCCCGACCCCGGCGGGGCGGGGGGGCGGGAUAUCUUCGCUUUUGUUCUCGCCCCCCCCCCCGCCGCUCCCGCGUCCCGUCCCAAGCGGAGCAGCGCUCCGAGGCACGGGCGGGUCCCGGCGGGGGGUGCGCGGCGGCGGGGCCGGGCGGUCUCCGGUGCUGCCCGGCGGGGCGGGCGGUCCCCGCUCCCCUCGGCCCGGCUGCGCCGUGUGGCAGCGCCUCUGUCAAUCAGCCUGACUUCACUCCCGCACGCCCUGUGUAUCCAGUAUUAUACCCCCGCCGCCUCCUGGUGUCUCUGCUUCGCUGCGAGCCGGGAGCGCGGCCGCCACUGCCGCUGCGGCUGCGGCUGGGCGAAUGCGCGGGCGGCGGGGCGCGGGGCAGCGCUGAGCGGCGCGGACCGGCGAGGAGAGGCGCGGAGCGGGGCUGCCGCCUGGCCGGCCCCGGCUGCGGGCAGC